rnacentral:rRNA from 1 species
CCAGCCACACUGGAACUGAGACACGGUCCAGACUCCUACGGGAGGCAGCAGUGGGGAAUAUUGCACAAUGGGCGCAAGCCUGAUGCAGCCAUGCCGCGUGUGUGAAGAAGGCCUUCGGGUUGUAAAGCACUUUCAGCGAGGAGGAAGGUGGUGAGCUUAAUACGUUCAUCAAUUGACGUUACUCGCAGAAGAAGCACCGGCUAACUCCGUGCCAGCAGCCGCGGUAAUACGGAGGGUGCAAGCGUUAAUCGGAAUUACUGGGCGUAAAGCGCACGCAGGCGGUUUGUUAAGUCAGAUGUGAAAUCCCCG